rnacentral:tRNA from 2 species
GGGGCCGUCGGCUAGCUUGGUCCAGGCUCUGAGACUUGGACUCUCGGGACUCCGGUUCAAAUCCGGGCGGCCCCACCA